rnacentral:lncRNA from 1 species
AAAAAAACAUUUGAUGAUUAAAUUAAUUUAAUGCCAACUAAAUUCAUUUACUACGCCAUUCAAUAAAUAAAUAUGUAACCGACCGUCCCUAGAGCAAAUGGUAAAAGACUUAGUUGUUGGUAUUCGAGACCCAAAUUCGAAUCCUAGUUUAUUCAUAUUUUCAACUAAGUUUAUUUCUAAAUGAAAUAAACGAAGCGAGUAUCAUGUUAUUUUUCUCUAAAAAAAUAAUAAUAAAUAAAUAUGUACGUACAGAAAUAAGAUUUGAACCUGCAACCUGGCGUAAAUUAAUUAUA